rnacentral:rRNA from 1 species
GAUGAACGCUAGCUACAGGCUUAACACAUGCAAGUCGAGGGGAAACGACAUCGAAAGCUUGCUUUUGAUGGGCGUCGACCGGCGCACGGGUGAGUAACGCGUAUCCAACCUGCCCACCACCUUGGGGAUAACCUUGCGAAAGUAAGACUAAUACCCAAUGAUAUCCCACGAAGGCAUCCGAAUGGGAUUAAAGAUUUAUCGGUGAUGGAUGGGGAUGCGUCUGAUUAGCUUGUUGGCGGGGUAACGGCCCACCAAGGCAACGAUCAGUAGGGGUUCUGAGAGGAAGGUCCCCCCACAUUGGAACUGAGACACGGUCCAAACUCCUACGGGAGGCAGCAGUGAGGAAUAUUGGUCAAUGGGCGAGAGCCUGGAACCAGCCAAGUAGCGUGCAGGAUGACGGCCCUAUGGGUUGUAAACUGCUUUUANAAGGGAUAAAGUGAGUCUCGUGAGACUUUUUGCAUGUACCUUAUGAA